UACGGAGGUGGCAAACGUUGCUCGGAAUUACUGGGCUUAAAGGGCGUGUAGGCGGCCGUCUAAGUCGGAUGUGAAAUCUCUCGGCCUAACCGAGAAACGGCAUUCGAAACUGGACGGCUAGAGUGCGGGAGGGGCAAGUGGAACUCCAGGUGUAGCGGUGAAAUGCGUAGAUAUCUGGAGGAACGCCGGUGGCGAAAGCGACUUGCUGGACCGCAACUGACGCUGAGGCGCGAAAGCUAGGGGAGCGAACGGG
rnacentral:misc_RNA from 1 species